AUUGAACGCUGGCGGCAGGCCUAAUACAUGCAAGUCGAACGAGUGGCGCACGGGAGAGUAAUGUCUGGGACACUGCUCGAUGGAGGGGGAUAACUACUGGAAACGGUAGCUAAUACCGCAUACCAUCGGAUGUGCCCAGAGGGGAUUAGCUAGUAGGUGGGGUAAAGGCUCACCUAGGCGACGAUCCCUAGCUGGUCUGAGAGGAUGACCGGCCACACUGGAACUGAGACACGGUCCAGACUCCUACGGGAGGCAGCAGUUGGGAAUAUUGCGCAAUGGGCGCAAGCCUGAUGCAGCCAUGCCGCGUGUAUGAAGAAGGCCUUCGGGUUGUAAAGGACUUUCAGCGGGGAGGCGUUACCCGCAGAAGAAGCACCGGCUAACUCCGUGCCAGCAGCCGCGGUAAUUC
rnacentral:rRNA from 1 species